CCAUGAUGGAGGGGUGGAGAAGAGAAGCGAGGUUGUCAAGCAUGUCCCAGAACUACAGCUUCUGCCUUCCAGGCUUGAUAGCUCUGGCAUAUACACAGAGGAAGUCCUCUCAAAGAUGGUAAGGGUUGACCUGGGACAUGAGUAUGGAGAACGCUGGGUACAGUGACCUGGCGAUGUAACACUCCUUACAGAAACACAAACCUGGCCUAUUCAGG
rnacentral:lncRNA from 1 species